rnacentral:rRNA from 1 species
GACGAACGCUGGCGGCGUGCUUAACACAUGCAAGUCGAACGAAGAGCGAUGGAAGCUUGCUUCUAUCAAUCUUAGUGGCGAACGGGUGAGUAACGCGUAAUCAACCUGCCCUUCAGAGGGGGACAACAGUUGGAAACGCCUGCUAAUACCGCAUACGAUCUAAUCUCGGCAUCGAGGAUAGAUGAAAGGUGGCCUCUACAUGUAAGUGAUCACUGAAGGAGGGGGUUGCGUCUGUGUAGUUAGGGGGUGGGGUAACGGCACAGCAAGGCGAGGAUCAGUAGCUGGUCGGGGAGGAGGACCAGCCGCAGUGGGACUGCGACCCGGCCCCGGCUCCUACGGGAGGCAGCAGGAGAGAAUAUUAGACGAUGGGGGCGACCCUGAUCCAGCCAUGGCGCGUGAGUGAUGAAGGGCUUAGGGUUGUGAAGCUGCUUUGGACGGGAAGAUAGUGACGGUACCGGGAGAAUAAGCCCCGGCUAACUUCGUG